AGAGUUUGAUCCUGGCUCAGAAUCAACGCUGGCGGCGUGCCUAACACAUGCAAGUCGAGCGAGAAAAGGGGGGCAACUCCCUGAGUACAGCGGCGCACGGGUGAGUAACACGUGGGUAAUCUGCCCUGGAGUGGGGAAUAACACCGGGAAACCGGUGCUAAUACCGCAUACGAUAGCGAGGUCUGCGGACUUUGUUAUGAAAGGAGCAAUUCGCUCUAGGAGGAGCCCGCGGCUGAUUAGCUAGUUGGUGAGGUAAUGGCUCACCAAGGCUACGAUCAGUAUCCGGUCUGAGAGGACGGUCGGACACACUGGAACUGAGACACGGUCCAGACUCCUACGGGAGGCAGCAGUGGGGAAUUUUUGGCAAUGGGGGCAACCCUGACCAAGCAACGCCGCGUGGGUGAUGAAGUCUCUUGGGACGUAAAACCCUUUCGACGGGGACGAAAGCCGCAAGGUUUGACGGUACCCGUAGAAGAAGCCCCGGCUAACUCCGUGCCAGCAGCCGCGGUAAUACGGGGGGGGCAAGCGUUGUUCGGAAUUACUGGGCGUAAAGGGCGCGUAGGCGGUUCGCUAAGUCGGAUGUGAAAACUCUGGGCUCAACCCAGAGCCUGCAUCCGAAACUGGCGGGCUAGAGUUCUGGAGGGGGUAGCGGAAUUCCUGGUGUAGCGGUGAAAUGCGUAGAUAUCAGGAGGAACACCGGUGGCGAAGGCGGCUACCUGGACAGAAACUGACGCUGAGGCGCGAAAGCUAGGGGAGCAAACAGGAUUAGAUACCCUAGUAGUCC
rnacentral:rRNA from 1 species